GACGAACGCUGGCGGCGUGCCUAACACAUGCAAGUCGAACGGGACCGGUUUUGGUGGCAACAUCUUGGUCGGUUUAGUGGCGAACGGGUGAGUAACACGUGAGGAACCUGCCCCGGAGACCGGGAUAACAGGAGGAAACUUCUGCUAAUACUGGAUGUCCCUGCUGUGCCGCAUGGUGUGGUGGGGAAAUGGGUUUCCGCUUCGGGAGGGUCUCGCGGCCUAUCAGCUUGUUGGUGGGGUAAUGGCCUACCAAGGCGUCGACGGGUAGCUGGUCUGAGAGGACGAUCAGCCACACUGGGACUGAGACACGGCCCAGACUCCUACGGGAGGCAGCAGUGGGGAAUCUUGCGCAAUGGGCGGAAGCCUGACGCAGCAACGCCGCGUGCGGGAUGAAGGCCUUCGGGUUGUAAACCGCUUUCAGCAGGGACGAAGUUGACGGUACCUGCAGAAGAAGCCCCGGCCAACUACGUG
rnacentral:rRNA from 1 species